ensembl:rRNA 5S_rRNA 5S ribosomal RNA
GCUAUUGGCCAUACCAUCCUGAAUGCUCCUGAUCUCGUCUGCUCUUGGAAGCUAAGCAGGGUUGGGCCUGGUUAGUACUUGGAUGGGAUGCCUAAGCCCUUUCUACUUGAUGUAAUAAGAGCUGAAUAGCCAAUAGCU